rnacentral:rRNA from 1 species
GCUAAAUUGCUAGCCCGCCUCCCAGGGCUAAUCACACCCAAUACCUAGCCCACCAAAACACUAACACGCCCAUCAAAUCAUUUUCCCUCCCCAGUACGGGCGACAGAAAAGGACAACCCGGAGCUAUAGACAAA